rnacentral:lncRNA from 1 species
UGUCGGUGAAGGGGAGCAAGCGCGUCAAGUGGACGGAGAUGAAGCGCAACUGGGGGCAAGUGUGGCAGACCGGGGAGGACCUCACCUGCGAGUCGCUGACGUUCCGGGUGAUGACUAGCGACCACCGCAAGGCCACCUCAUGGCACGUUCUCCCCGCUGACUGGAAGUUCGGCGUCACGUACCAGGCGUCCAAGAACUUCUAAGUAGCCACUUUCCCUCCUCUUCUUCAACCUGCAUGCCCGCAAGCAGCCAUGCAGAUUAUAACAUGCAUCAUGCAUGCAUAUUCAUUCUUUCGCUCAUGCACUCCGAUACGGUGCCAGAGUUAAAAAAUGUAAAUCAAUAUGCAAAUUCAAAUUACAUCUUAACCAGUUGUGAUCAAUCUUUAUAAAUUCGUAAUAAAUUCAUCUUAGCUUAGAAAAAUAUGAAAC